rnacentral:rRNA from 1 species
AUUGAACGCUGGCGGCAUGCUUUACACAUGCAAGUCGAACGGUAACAGGCCGCAAGGUGCUGACGAGUGGCGAACGGGGGAGUAAUGCAUCGGAACGUGCCCAGUCGUGGGGGAUAACGCAGCGAAAGCUGCGCUAAUACCGCAUACGAUCUAUGGAUGAAAGCGGGGGACCGGAAGGCCUCGCGCGAUGGGAGCGGCCUAUGUCAGAUUAGGUAGUUGGUGGGGUAAAGGCUCACCAAGCCAACGAUCUGUAGCUGGUCUGAGAGGACGACCAGCCACACUGGGACUGAGACACGGCCCAGACUCCUACGGGAGGCAGCAGUGGGGAAUUUUGGACAAUGGGCGCAAGCCUGAUCCAGCAAUGCCGCGUGCAGGAAGAAGGCCUUCGGGUUGUAAACUGCUUUUGUACGGAACGAAACGGUCCGGGUUAAUACCCUGGGCUAAUGACGGUACCGUUAGAAUAAGCACCGGCUAACUACGUGCCAGCCGCCGCAGUAACAC